CAUAUUCCCACUGUCAUAUCAAGUCUCACUAGAGAUUUUAAAGAAUUAGAUAGUUCAAAGUGUUUAUUUAUUUUGAAACAGUAGGUUAUUUGUUGGAAUGCAAUAGGUAAUUCUAAGGUAUUUUGGGGUUUGGAUAUUUGCCUACGUUUAUGAGGAGAAUGCACAGAGACAACCCGUCAUGACACCUGACACCAUGUGAAUCAGUUCAUCCAUCUACUCGAGAACAACAAGGACACCUACUGGAGGAACAUUAGAAGUACAAUUUUACUGCUUCAUGACGGGACAGGAGAGCAGCGCAGUGAGCCACUCUAGACUGAUUGUCACCAACGUCUAGUUGGCUAGUCUGACUGAAGUCUUACUGAGGUCAGUUGAGGACCUGGCAUGUCGACAACAUACUUUCACUCUAAUUUGCAACUGCACUGUUAGCUACAUACAGUGAAACUAUUAACUGUUAUCGUGUCAGAGUAGAGCAUGAAACUAAUCCAGAUUGUGGGAACAUAACUAGC
ensembl:lncRNA